GCUGGACAUGCCGAGAGAUGAGUUUGGAUUGAUCUGCGGUGUUGCAUCUUGUGUCUAUAAAAUGAGCUGCUCGUAAUACGUAGAUAAUCCUGUCUACUGCAGUAAAAUAUAUUAUGUUAGCCAUGGAGAACUGCAAAUAUGUUGCUAUUGCUCUCAAUAACAUUGCUGCCCUGAAUUUAUAAGGCGCUAUCAACAAAGUUGUGAUGGACUACUUUCUGGACAAUGAUCGUGCCAUGCAAUGCUGACUCUCUCUCAUUUCAUAACAUGUUUUGAAAUCAGUGGAAUACAAUGGGCAAAACAAGCUGUGCAAACUAAACGGAAACAACACAGGAUGUCUUAUAAAAGAGGUUGCGGUCUGCCGUGAAGCUUUCAUCCAUGUAUACAGGCCCCAGAGUCUGCCAUACCACUAACCAAGGGGCAUCACCAAGCAAUUGGCACUAUGAAGACCAAGGAGCUCUCCAAAAAGCAUUAAUCAGUAGAACACGCCUGACUCUAAUCCACCAGUCAUACAGUCUGGUGUUGUCGCCAAGGAGCGUUUGAACUGUCGGGACCAGGUUUCAGCUUCUGCGUAACGCUGACGUCCUUCUCUCAUAGAUGGUCUGCCUGUAAAAGCACCACCUGGACUGGACACAGCCAGACAAACUAUCUUUUUGACAAGAUCAGGGAGUUUUGUGAUGAAGAGGCUAUGGACAUCACAUGCCCAGCACCAAAGUCAAGGGCGUGACAGAAACAGGCUCUCCGAAUAUAGAUUCACGUGUUCAUGUGUGGUUUGGACGGACCAGUCAUCCACACAAUCUGCAGUGCAUCUACUCACAUGACUCUCUCC
rnacentral:lncRNA from 1 species